rnacentral:rRNA from 1 species
GACGUAGGGUGCAAGCGUUGUCCGGAUUUAUUGGGCGUAAAGAGCUCGUAGGCGGCUUGUUGCGUCGACUGUGAAAACCCGCGGCUUAACCGCGGGCUUGCAGUUGAUACGGGCAGGCUAGAGUUCGGUAGGGGAGACUGGAAUUCCUGGUGUAGCGGUGAAAUGCGCAGAUAUCAGGAGGAACACCGGUGGCGAAGGCGGGUCUCUGGGCCGAUACUGACACUGAGACGCGAAAGCUAGGGGAGCAAACGGG